rnacentral:rRNA from 1 species
AAUCUACCCAGUAAUCCGGGAUAACAUCUCGAAAGAGAUGCUAAUACCUGAUAAGCCCACGAUCUCUUCGGAGAACGAGGGAAAAGGUGGGGACCUUCGGGCCUGCCGUUGCUGGAUGAGUCCGCGGCCCAUUAGCUAGUUGGUAGGGUAAUGGCCUACCAAGGCUACGAUGGGUAGCUGGCCUGAGAGGAUGAUCAGCCACACUGGAACUGAGACACGGUCCAG